rnacentral:rRNA from 1 species
CCUACGGGAGGCAGCAGUGGGGAAUUUUGGACAAUGGGCGCAAGCCUGAUCCAGCCAUGCCGCGUGCAGGAUGAAGGCCUUCGGGUUGUAAACUGCUUUUGUACGGAACGAAAAGACUCUGGUUAAUACCUGGGGUCCAUGACGGUACCGUAAGAAUAAGCACCGGCUAACUACGUGCCAGCAGCCGCGGUAAUACGUAGGGUGCGAGCGUUAAUCGGAAUUACUGGGCGUAAAGCGUGCGCAGGCGGUUAUAUAAGACAGAUGUGAAAUCCCCGGGCUCAACCUGGGAACUGCAUUUGUGACUGUAUAGCUAGAGUACGGCAGAGGGGGUAUGGAAUUCCGCGUGUAGCAGUGAAAUGCGUAGAUAUGCGGAGGAACACCGAUGGCGAAGGCAAUCCCCUGGGCCUGUACUGACGCUCAUGCACGAACGACGGUGGGGUAGGACGAACGAAGGAGUAGUAUACCGUACGGUAGUACCGACCGACCCGUAACCGUAACGUAGUCUACUAGGUUGGUUGGGUUCGUUC